GGAGUACAUCACAAUCUGAGACUCAAAAUACGACGAUCUAAUUACGAAACUACCCGUCGACGGCCGGACCGGCUCCUUUCCCUCCCUCCCUCUUACGCUACCCCGAGAGCGAAGUGGACGACUUCGCGAAGACCUACCUCCAUCUCUCCUCUCGUCUUCCACAUGCGGAGGUGCCGAUCGGGUUGACAGCGUGUUCGUAGCUCUUACGAUAUCGAGAGGAGGUGAUUCGGUGAGGCAUGCAGACGGAUCGGACGGACAACAGCUUGAGGCCCAGCAGCAGCGGCGGGACCCGAGGCAGCGGAAGCCUCCCCCCCGGGUUCGAUACGGCCGCCUCCAAUCUUCCCGUCCUCGGCCCACGUGGCGAUGCCGGCGCCCCCCUCCCGCUCAAGGCUAUGCAGAACUCAGGAGACAUUCUAAAACUCAAACAGGAGAUUGAGCCAGAAUUGUUUCUGGAUGAUGAAAGUUGGGGCCUUAGUGAUGCUAAUGUAUGAUCUCCUACUUCUACAUGUCAAAGUGCAUUACUAAGCGUCAGAGUCAACCUAAUUUCAAAAUCAAAUGGUUGUGACUACCACACCAGAAUCACAAGAACCAUCAUGAGUGAUGUGGAAUUCUAGGCUUUCUUUCAUAAUUAAGGCAUGUUUACCCCUC